rnacentral:siRNA from 1 species
UCCAUAUUAAGUAGCCAAGGUG